CCAGCACCUCCCCUAACCAGGUGUUCUACUCUGCUAGCCAGCACCUCCCCUAACCAGGUGUUCUAAUCUGCUAGCCAGCACCUCCCCUAACCAGGUGUUCUACUCCGCUAGCCCAGUACCUCCUCUAGCCAGGUCUUCUACUCCGCUAGCCCAGUACCUCCCCUAACCAGGUCUACUCCGCUAGCCCAGUACCUCCCUUAAACAGGUGUUCUACUCUGCUAGCCAGCACCUCCCCUAACCAGGUGUUCUACUCCGCUAGCCCAGUACCUCCACUAACCAGGUCUUCUACUCCGCUAGCCAGCACCUCCCCUAACCAGGUCUUCUACUCCGCUAGCCCAGUACCUCCCUUAAACAGGUGUGUGUUUCUCUUUCGCCUCCAGAUACAAUUGUUAAUAGAAUCAUUGGAGGGCUCACAGUAUAUCAUUUACCUCGAUAGGAUUUAAGAUGGACAACACUGGGAGAGCAAGUUACAACAGGACAGCAGAUUGAACCACUAAAAUAGACUGAAGUAAUGAUUUACUAUGACGUAUCCAUAACGCAUUCAUCACACUAUAAACAUUUAAUGAGCGGAUUGUAACCAGUGGCAACCGCAUUGUUAAAGGUCAAUGAAAUAUAUUUAUAUCUUAUCUAAUAGCGUAACCAUGUCAUGAUUUGCAAUCGCUUUAGAUAUCUUAAUAAAUGCGGUAUUACAAUGACAGCGCAGUGUGAACAUCAAUGUCAUACUUACUGAGACACCUAGUGGAGACAUAACAGCAUGACUAAGGAGUUCAUUCACUUACACACAGACACACAGCUUGACUCGGGAGCGCUGUAACGGCACAUUUUGGGGGGGAUUGGGUACUGGCUCCUCUUCCUCUAUAAAACAUAGACAGAACAGUAAUGAAGACAGGCAGACACUGCUUCCCCAAUAGAAAUACUCAGUCCCACUUGUCGUGGCGACUUCGGCUAGCUCAGCUCAUGCAUAGAAACACGUCUUCGGGUCAAAUGGUCGUGUCGCGCCGAACUGCGAUUGUGCAGACCGUCACACCAGAGGUACUCCUUCGAUAUCAAGUUGUUCUGGACGAAAACGUGUCAGAUGGUCACUUUCACAAGGUUGGAGUAACAAAAUGUUCAACUACUGAAGACACCUGUUCAUUGAAAUGCAUUCCAGGUUGACUACCUCAUGAAGCUGGUUGAGAGAAUGCCAAGCGUCUGCAAAGCCGUCAUCAAAUCAAAUCGAAGGGUGGCUACUUUGAAGAAUAUCAAACAUAAAAUAUAUUUUGAUUUGUUUAACACUUUUUGUUGGUUACUACAUGAUUCCAUAUUGUGUUAUUUCAUAGUUUUGACGUCUUCACUCUCAUUCUACACUGUAGAAAAUAACACAAAUAAAAACCCUGGAAUGA